rnacentral:misc_RNA from 1 species
GCUAGACCCAAGAUGCUGCUGAAGCCUUCUCAUUCUUGUCUUUGAUUUGUGUGUCUUUGUUUUAGAAACAAAUCAAAGUUGCUGUAUUGUAUGACUCUCCUUCAGCUUUUGAUUCUGUUCCAAUAGUAUCACUGAAUAUUGUGACAUGGUGUGGAUUUUCAAUUUUACUCUGUUAUGUAAGAAACAACUACGGUGAUGUCGUCCAGCUUCCCACCAUGGUAAUCAAAUCCAGCCUCGCGAGCUCCAUCAGAGAAAGGCGAAGACUUGAUAUGAUCCAUUGCUCUUAGUUGUGCCAGUUCUGCUAUCCGCUGAGCAGUCAUCUGAGGCGCUAAGCCAUCUUCCAUGGCCUGAAAUACAACUCCACUGAUAUCUUCGUCAUACAAAUUAUCAAAAAGCCCAUCUGUACCAACAAUUAGGACAUCUCCAGGUAAAGCAGUAAUUUUGAAUACCAUGGCAGAGCUAGG